GAUGAACGCUAGCGGCAGGCUUAAUACAUGCAAGUCGAGGGGCAGCAUAAGUAGCAAUACUUGAUGGCGACCGGCAAACGGGUGCGGAACACGUACGCAACCUUCCUUUAAGUGGGGAAUAGCCCGGGGAACCGGAUUAAUACCCGUAAUAUUAUGAUGUGGCAUCACAUUAUAAUUAUAGAUUCAUCGCUUAAAGAUGGGCGUGCGCCUGAUUAGGUAGUUGGCGGAGUAAAGCCCACCAAGCCUGCGAUCAGUAACUGGUGUGAGAGCACGACCAGUCACACGGGCACUGAGACACGGGCCCGACUCCUACGGGAGGCA
rnacentral:rRNA from 1 species